AUGCGACGGUCGACGCGGCUGCUAGGGAAAGGAACGGCGGCGCCGGCGGCUGGUGUGGGAGUGGAGACACGCGCAUCGUCGUCGCACUCCAUGGACGAUGACGGCACAGAUUCCAGAAUGGACGAGGACGAAUGUACUGCUGAUGGGUCAUUCUCAACACGUUUCUCAGCAACCCGGCUGCGUCAAGUUCCGAAUCUUCAGUCUGAAACUAAGAAGCAAAUUAUUAGCAAAAGCAGCUUUGGGUCCCUCCUAAACAUCAGUUCUUUCUCUAUGCCGGCUGAUUUGCUUGAUUGGAUAGUGAUGAAAAUUGACACAGAAAAGGCAAUGUUUAGUCACAAGAAGAAGUCUAUAUUGUUCACGAAAGACAUGGUGCGAAAAAUUUUCAAUGUACCUUCUGGGUCAAGGCCAGUGGAGCUGUUGAGGAGGAAUGAGCCUCAUGCGCUCCGUGAACCCUAUCGAGUAGGGUCAAGGUCUCCAAUGAAGCAUGCUAUUCAAGUGCUGGAGGCAACAGAUGAUCGUGAUGUAGUUUCCAUUAACAUGACUUGGGUGCUUUUAUGCAUUGCUCUUGUGCUAUCUCCUGGGACUGGCAACAUGGUCCCCCUAGAGUAUGUUGCGAGCUUGGUUGACAUGGACAAGAUCAAUGAGUUUGCGUGGGAUGGCAUUUCCUGGCUGCUGCUUUCAAGGAGGUGA
rnacentral:rRNA from 1 species